UAGCCAACCCUGGAUGAUCUCAGAAGGAAUGAUGAAGGUUUGUUAUACCCCAAGUUGGCCAAACCUGGAUGAUCUCAGAAGGAAUGAUGAAGGUUUGUUAUACCCCAAGUUGGCCAAACCUGGAUGAUCUCAGAAGGAAUGAUGAAGGUUUGUUAUAUCCCAAGUUGGCCAAACCUGGGUGAUUUCAGAAGGAAUUAUGAAGGUUUGUUAUAUAUCAGGUUUGCCAAACCUGGAUGAUUUCAGCAGGAAUGAUGAAGGUGAGCCUGGAAAGAGCCAGAGAGGGAACAGCAAAGCCACCAGAGGAAUGUGACAACAAACUCCAGAGAGCAAAGGCAGUGCCAUGGAGGGGGAGGCUUGGGCACCUGUUGUGACAGCUGUGACUAAGCAUACAAUGACCAGAUCAGGGUGAAUAAUGAGACAAUCUGCUCAUUUAAGAGUGGAUAUACAAACCCAGCAGGGACAUGAAACUGUUUUGCUUUGUUUUACUGAUAAUGUGUUAUUGGAGUCAUGUCUCUGGCUGUGUCCUAGAGUGGGUUCAAAACAAUUACUUACAUAACACAGGAUAUAUUUAAGUCAGGGAAAAGCAGGGAGGGAGAAAUGUGUGUAUCUCAAUUUCUGGUUAAGAAGGAAAAUGAAAUUAUGUUUUUCCCAAUAGAUUUAUUGAUUCCCCUUUUUCCAGCACGGGAAUCUCCAUCUCAAGGGCUGGAUCCCCCUUGCAAAACUUGAGCUGCAAAGUAAUCAAUGAACAAGACGAAGCCCUGCAUCCCCCCCUUCCCAGCUGCUGGUUCCUACCCUAACAACCAUUAAUUAUUCUAAUAGCAAACUCCUUAAAAAUAACUCAAUCAAUGCAUUCUCCAGAAGUUGGAGCCCAUCUCUGGAUGCCUCUAGCCUGGUCCAUGGUGGCCAGGCAAUAACUGAUGCAAGCCCUGAGGUGCUGUUCCCUUGUAGUGCUCUGCUUUAGGAGGGGUCAGAUGUCUUCUGGAUCAACUUUGGGGUAGAUUUUGAGGUGGCAAAUGUGCUGCUUUCAAAAAUUUCUUCCAUGGGUGAAAGAAAAUUGUGCUUGCCGCUCACAGAGCAGAGUAAUGCGCAAAACAACAAAAGGAAAAAUUAAACUCACAAAGCCAAGAAACAGCAAAGUCCAGGGCAGCUGCCCAUGCUGCAAACCUGAUUCACAAGUGAUGGCAUUCCAUGAAAUAGUGACCACCCCUGCUUUAAUUUCAAAUUAAAACCAUAUUGAGAAACUUGGAAUACAAAGACAAGAUUUGUGGGAUGUAAAUACCUGGUGAGUGCAGCCAACCAGCACAAAAUAUCUUUGGAGGGAGCUCAGUCCCUGCUGGAGUCCCUGUGCCUACAGAUCAUCGUGUACAGGGAGUAAUUACAGCAGGGUUUGUCAACUAAUUUGGUGGAGGGAUGAAUUCUUUAUCUAUUAAUCAAUGUAGGGAAGCAUGAAGCACCUAUAAACCAUUCAUCUCACUUUAGCUUCUUGUUUACCUUUAAUUAGAGUUGCUCUGAUUUGAUUGGGGAAAAUGGAGGUACCUUGGAAUAGAGAGGUGUCAGCUGGGGCAUCUUGGACAGCCCUUCCUGCUGUGGGAUCCUCAGGGAAAUGGGUUGGCUAGUUUGGAUUUUUAUUUCCAAAAUGUGCACCGAUAAAAUGUUCACAGGGUAAGACCCCUAAAUCAGAGGUAAAUAAAAAGAUGGUUACAGUGCCAGCACCUCACCAAUGAGAAGGAAGUUUAUAGCAGUGUGAAUUAAUUAAUGUCUCAUUUACAUCUGCUAUGGGUCAUCCCUCUUUUCUCGUUUUUCCCAUUCCUUUUUUAUUAUAUUUAUGCACAAGGAAGUUAUUUAUUAGGAAAAUUUCAUUUCUUUGCCUAUUUCUUUGUCUACAGUUGAAAGAGAGUAAACCAAUGUUUUUAUUAUGCUUUUAUUUUAUUUUUUUCCCUUUUAAAAUUGUUUACCUUUUUCCCAGAGUUUCCAGGAGGAUUAUAGGUAAGGCUGUGACACCUAUACAGAGUUAUGGGAUGUUUUAUAACUGAUGUGUUAUGUGCAAUGCAGGUAAAUGCAACUGCAAGCACAGGAAGUCCCAGUGGGUCACUCACAUUUCAUUUCAUUUUAGCUUGACUUUAAAUCAGUGAUAUUUAAUAUUUUUUUAUAAGAGAACUCUUAAAAAUGCUUUUAUAAAAUGAAAAGUCCUGGUUAAGCCUUGGAGUCCUACACAGCAGUGUGGAAACCUGCAGCUUCACUAAAAACCAUGCAGUAAAUGUGCCGUUCCUUGGUGCAUGCUUAUUAUGGGUAAAUAUUGUUCUCUGGGUAGUGCCUGGAAAUUGUAAUUAAUUUCAAAUACUCCCUCUUUUUGUCCACGUAUGCAGAUUUCAAAUCUGUGCCUGCGCCGGUUUUGACACCGUGCAAUGAAGCAUCCGAGCUCUCAGAUGUCUGGCUCUUCCGAGUUGUGAAAUGAGAAAACAAACAAACCCAACCAUUCCAGCCCUGUCAAUCUCCUUCUCAGUGGACAGAUGCCCUGGUGCCAGAAAAGCUUCAUCCCAUGAUCCCACACCUCUUGGCAGUGCCAAAAGAAAUGCCAGAGAUCUACUGGAUGCGAAAGCACGACAGUUCCUCACCCCAAAAAUAGGAUUUAUGGAAAAAUGGGCCACACUGGAGCUCCUGGGCGAGGCUGUGUGGGGAAAUGUGUGCAGCCUCUUGUUCUGACAUUCCUGGUCUCCAGAUCAUCCAUCUGAUUUGCUCCUGGAGCAAGGUGCCUCUGGGCAGUGAUGGAUUAACUGGAGAGGGUCCAGGUUUCUGGAAUGAGCCAGGCUAAGAAUUUGCCAAGGGCAUCAACAGCAGUUUUCCCAGGCUCCAGCACAAGGAUUAUGUAGUCAAUCCACAAAUGACUCAAAUCUUUGAAGAGAAGGACAUGGUUAUCAGAGAGGCUUUGACGACAGCAAGGACGGGAGUGCUAUCUGCCUUUUUCCAUCAGAGAUCCCCUUUCCCUCUCAUUAACAUACCCCGGACAUCAGCACAGCCAUCGGCCCGAGGGAAUCGCUUCCAGCUUUUAAGGGAAUAUUCACAAGACCUCGCCCCUGCGUUGUCUCAGACAGAUCAAACCAGAUUUGCCUCGUGUAAGGGUUUUUCAGUCCCACUGAAGAUGUGAUGUGAAAGCUGCUGCUGCUGUAAGUGGGGAGAGGAGAUGCCUCUACCUGCUCCCUGCCAGUGCCCUGCAAUGAAAAAUGCUUUUGGAGCAACACUGGAAAUAAGCCAUCAAAAUAUCUGAUUAAACCUCUUAGGAAACUCUCACUAAUCACCUUCUCUGCUCUUGAUGGAAUGUAUUUAUGCAUUAUAAAUAUACUUACUAUGUGUGUGUGCUCCAUAAAUCACACCCAGCACUUGUAUGUGAUGUAUAAGCACAUUCUAUAGAACACACACAAAUACAGAUGCCAAGCUCCCACAGAGUUCAUCACUGGAAAGUGUUUGAAGGAUCUGAUCCUUAAUAUUUAAUGAGCAAGAUGCUAUUUCCUUCCUCAGCUUUUAUCUCUGGUUUGGCAUAGUCAUUAAAUUUGUUGUUUCCUUGCAGGAUUAUAUAAUUUAUGACCUAAUUUUAGACUUUUGUGUAGCCGCGUUGAAACACUCGUGGCGUAUCCCGGUUUCUCCACACGGAGUGUUCCAGCAUCAGCCACCAGCUCCAGCACGAAUUCUGUGAGCUGCCUGUCAGCAAGGAGUCACAGGCAUGAAAGGAAAACAGCCCAACAAUAUCCAGGCGGCAUUAUAAGAUUAGUUUGUGGGGGGUUUUGCCCUGCAAAAAAAUAUGAUUUAGCAGCGUUUCCAAAGCUGUCUGCAGUGCUGGCAGGAAUCCCCAGGCCUGCUGGGUGAGUUUGAUCCAGUUCCAGCCAGGAUGCAAAGCUGAGCAUCCACAGCCAUCACUCUCCUGCUAUUGACAGUAGAUUUUGCUGUCUUCCAAAUAUCCAGAUUUUAUUAAUAAUGAGAAUUUUGAGGAAUAGGACUUUAUUCUGCCCACAACACUUUGUAAAUUCAGAGUAUGCUGAUUUGAGCAAUAACUAGCUAGAAAAGGUGUUUUCCUUCUGUCAACCUAAAUGAAUAAAAUUGGAAAUGUAUCCUCAGUGUUCAUCCACCAGAAUAUCCACUUUAUUAAGUGUUAAAAGUUUUUCAUGAUACUGAACCAAAACUUAUGUGUCUUUUAGGGAUUUUUGUGGCAUGGUUAAAAACAUUGACAGGAAGUUUCUAACGUGGUAAAUUUCAAAGGAUCAUUUUAUGAGUUUUUAAAUUGUGAUCCUGGAGUUUCUUCCCUUUCCAGUUUUUCAAAAGGUGGAAUUAAAAAAACCCAAAAGACAGGCAGAAGCAGCUGGAUGCUUUUAUAGGUAAAAUAGUGAGAAGAGGCUGAGAAGUGUGGGUGAUUUGGUUUAGUGGAUGUGGUGGAAUUGGGUCAAAGAUUGGAAUGGACAAUCUUGGAAGUCUUUUCCAAACUUAGUGAUUUUGUGAUUUUGUUGUGUGAAUUACAGAGUCUCAGGGUAGCAAACACCCCAUGGAGCUGCUCUGACUUAGGGAAAAUUCCUUUUCUAUAUUAGUUUUGAUUCCAGAGUUGUAUUUAACCUCAGUGUAGAAGCAGAGCUAAGGGAAGAGCAGGCCAUUGGCACUUAAUGUUUUAUGCCUUUAUUUUUUUCCUUUAGGAAACAAAUCUCCCCUUUUUGAGGGGAUAAAGUGCAAUGGGAAUAGGACGGCUCAGUGGAGAAUUCCUUGUGGCAGAAGGAUGGGCGGCAUGGAGAUUUCUGAGAUGUCUUGGAUGUCACUUCCAUCAAGUAGAAGGAAUGUUAUGCUAAACUCUUCAUCAAAACUGAGACCUCACGGAUUAUUUUGUUGGAAAGUCAAGAAAACAACAACUGAUUUUUUUCCCCAGGGCAGAGAUUUUGUGUUAGAGGAGAAAAUGAGAAAACAACCAGACCCCAAAAGAGGGAAAAAGGGAAAACCUGAGAUUAGAGAAGGGAAAAGGUAUCAAAAGAAAUUUGAUGAAGCCCUAAUUGUGUCCAAAAUCCAUGAUUGUUUGGAAAUCCAAGGAACUACUGUUGCAUUAUCUGUUCAGACGGGCUCUAUAAUCAGAAAAUCCUCAUCUCCUACAUCCAGCUUUCAAGAGUUCAGUCUAUUCAGUUCUGGAAUCUCAAAAGACAGGGAAAACACCUGGAUUUAUGGUGCUUGGGAGUAUUGGGAUUAGAUGCAAGCAGCUGGGUUUUCCAGGAAGGUUAUUCUGGAAUUUUUGAGUAACACAAGUUCUGGCACAGUGCUGGGGGUGGUGUGGGUACAGGAGCACUGUCAGGUGGACUUGAAACUGGAAAGAUUCCUUGUCACAUAACUGAUCCCAAAUUUCACUUGGGAUUUUUUUACCAAGUUUCCAUUCCCAUUGCAAAUAUAUGGAUAACAUGUUUAGGCACUAUCCUUAAAAAAGUAAAGAAAUAAUUUCUUUAAGAGAUGGGUGAUCUGUAGAAGACAUUUAUGUAAUUUUACAUUCUAAAUGUGAUUUAUAUUUAUAAAUAAAUUUGCAUAAAACCUCCA